UUUUUAUGCAUUACAGGUUUUCAGCGGUCUUAGGUGAGGAAUGUCAGAGACAUGGCUGGGACCUGCUGAGAAAGCACGUCCUCUGAGAGGGCGAACCAGCCACUACUCUUCAGACUCUGACACACAAGCCAUUUCUUGAUGCUCUCAGUUUGGGUCUGGGACAAAUACUCUUCUCAUUACCACUCAGCUUAGUUUUGACCUCCUCUCGAUAAUCUGCUAUGCUAGAGAGGGGGGACAACCAUUCAGGACUAUCUCGCAUUUUCUAAUCCACAGGGAUUGAAGAUAAAGCUCAACCUAAUCACAGAGGAAGACACCAAAGCAAGUAGGGAAUGAGCCUUUGGAAGGGGUCUGAAGACUAGGUAGAAGUCUAAAGGCAUUCCAGGUAGAAGAAAAUAAGUGUGUGUGUGUGUGUGUGUGUGUGUGUGAGAGAGAGAGAGAGAGGGAGAGAGGGAGAGGGAGAGAGGGAGAGAGGGAGCUGAAAGGUGGGAAUGGCAGAGAGAGAAGAUUCUACAUGAAUUUGGGAAGUUAGGACAGGGCCAGAUUAUGAAGACCUUUAAAGUCUCUAUUAAGGUACUUUUGCAAUUCCACUAGGCAAAGGUGAGCCACUGACAAGUUUUCAGCAGAGGAGUGCCCCUUUUAUAUCUGUAGUUAGCAGGAUACUCAGAGGGUGAUGCAAAGGAGUGUUUGGAAGUAGUGAGACUAAAGGCUGAACAUUUAUGACACUCAUAAGACAAUGUGACCUUGGACAAAGGCAAUAGCAGCUGGGAGUCAUGCUUUCCUUGAACCUUCUGAGCAUCUGCCAUGAGUGCUGAGGAUGUAUUGCCAAAGGGGAGACAGACAGGUCCCCACCCUCAGGGAGCUUAUAGUACAAUGCACUCAAGAGGGAAGGUAAUGUUUUAGUAUGUUUCAGAGACAGAAUCAGCAGAUAGUUUCAGCAUUCCCUUCAGUGCUAAAAGGAUGAACUCUACAAAGUCCAGCAGAAAUCACACCAGAUAGGCCAUCUUUCUAAAGCCUAUAACAUCCAUUCUCCUAAUUGCAGCUAAAAGAAAGUCCCCAUAAAUACACUGGAAAAGACAGGCAUGAUGGGCGUGGGCUUUCUCCCUGGCACGUGAAGUCUGAUGUUCUUGGUUUGAUUAGUUUCAUCAGGGGCCAUAGUAGAGCCUGCAGAAGCAUGAGAAGGGGUGGUGGAGUAGAGGCUUGUGGGCAGAAAGAGAAGAAUGGAGAAGCAAGUCACAUGAGUUUUAGGCUCAGCUCUGCAUAGCAUUUGAUGUGUGAUUUAACACAAAUCACUACUUCACUUGGAGACUCAUGUUUCUCAUCUGUCAAAAAGGAAACUGAAGUAGAUAAUCUCAGAGAUCUCUUCUAGUCCUAGGAUGUCCUGAUACCAUUUUUUCCUUGAAAUUUCUAAAUGAACCAGUAUUUUCAAGGGAUGUGAUGCACUCUUAUUCAUGCUUUUUAAUUUUUUUUGACCAAUUUACAUUUCUAUAACCAUUUAAACUUUACUAAAUAUUUUCACAUGCAUAUUACCACUUGCUCAUCAUAGCCACCCCUGGCUCCAAUUUUUACAGGUGAGGGGACUGCAGCUACAUGAGCAAGAGAAGAGGGAGACACAAGAAACCAAGUCCAUAGAGAUAAAGUGAACGUUAAGUCAGGCUUUUAGUUUCAAAGUGGUUCUUUUAUCCACUUCAAAAAGCUCAAUGCAUUAACCCGAGAGCCUAUUCCCCCGUUCUAAUCAAUCCAUGUUUAGGAUUUAACAACUCAAACAGGAUAUUAGGUAAGUCAAAUAGGUUCAGCACCAAGAACUCACUAAAAGAGAAGAAUGACUACAUUUUAUUGAACCUAAUUUAUAAGCCAUCUGGAAGCAUUACCUUCAAUGGGAAGCCCAGAACUAGUGUCCCCAGCUAAGAGACGCUGAUAAAUAAAGACACCAGCAUUUCAGUAACAUUAAAGCUGUGUGUUAAACACAGAAAGGUGAAGAAUCUAGGGGCACAGAAGCUCUGGAUGGUCUUUUUAUUUCCCCUGGUACUGUUCACAGGAAGAUACACGCUUGGCCUCAACAAAAUUGGCUGUCAAAUAAAAUUCCUAUAGAAAUUUCCUUUGAAAGAAUCAUAUGGCAGCAAAUUUAGACACUCUUAUAAUAUUUGGUGCCUAUAUAGGUUAAUCCUGGUUACUUGCAUUCAAACGCACUCCUGGAAUUAGUGAGCUUCACAAAGCUCUGAAUGUGAUCUUAAUUUUCUCAUUCCUAGAAAGGAAAAUAAUUUCUUCUAAGGUUGCUAGAGGGGUAAAACUCGCAAAGUGAGGCCUGAGGGUAGAGGUGGAAUAAGUGGGGUGAGGUUAGUUCACUGCAGAGGAGCCAGCCAGCAGAGUUUGCUACUUUACCUAAGACUUGGUCUCAUUCCCCUUCCUGACAUUCUGACAUUCUUACACUUUGGCUAUGGUUUGGCUUCUCCAUGGAUGUAUCCCAAAGUUUAGUGGUGUAACUCUCUCCCCAGUUCCCUCUCUGGGUGGUUCAGUCCAUCCUGGAUGAUCUCUUAAUUAUACAUGUAUCAGGCACAUUUGUCUACCAUCUGUUCAGAACAGAUCUUGUAAUAGUCUAUUUGCACCCAAAUUUUUAUUAUUUUAUCAUCCUUCCUUUAAGUCUUAGCUCAGCAAUUUACCAGCUGUAGGACUUUGAGUAAAUUGCUUUGCCUCUCUGAUCCUCAUUAUACUUAUCUAUAAAUGGUGGUAACAAUAGCUUACUUAUAUGUCUGGGGUGGGGUUUAUCAUCAUUAGCAUAUCGGGGUUCUCAGUGAUUAUUUUUUAAUUCUUAAAGUUAGAUGCCAGAAGUAAAGAUUUGGAAGAAAACCCCUCAAAAAUCUAUAAAACCAUGGACCUGGCACCAUAGAACAUAAAGAGUAAGAGAAGAAUGCAAACAGACAACACCAUGUUAAGUGAUUUAGUAAAGCAUUUCCCUGUUCCCCAAAGGAUACAGACAUUCUACACAGGAUUGUUGCUGGCCUUCUUCACCCAUGGGAAACUGAUUCUCUAACCCAUAGGUGUCUACUCUGAUGUAGCUUGUACCAAGAAGUGGGGGGCCUGAGUUGACCAGAUGCCCUGGUGGACCUCAUUAUGUUUUCUUGUGUCACUCUGAAAUAAUAAGAUCCCCUUCCACAGACCUCCCUCUAUUCUAGUCCUUUGCUUAGCCUUCUUAGUCUGUGCUUAUUAUUAUAUCCACUCCCUCCCUCAAGCCCCGAUCUUCUCUUAUCACCCUCAGUGUCUUCUGGUUCAAAUUCAUUUUCUCCCCAACACUAAAAAUAAGAAUCCUCAUGUUACAACUCCAUCCGUUGCCUGGAGAUAACAUUCAGCUCUUCACACGCAGGCAGACCUCCUCCAGCUGUGCCAAUUUAAUCCUGUUCUGUUGCUUCGUUCAUUUUGAAUAGGAUACCUCUGGCAGGUGAGGUGUUAUGAACAUCAACAUGUUAAAUCUUCAGUAAAGUAAUUCUCCUGGGCAUUUUUCCCCCAUUUCAUUUUGUCCAGGAUGCUGUCAUAAUGUCUACUGACAUUUCUAGACUUUCCCCUUGAGUUCCUUGGCAAUUCAUUAAUACAUGCACCUACCAACAAACAUUUUCUUGAGGACCCACCAUGUGCCAGUCAUUGCAGUACAGUACUCAUUUGAUGCUCGUGAGAAGGCAUGAUGUAGGUGUGUGGUGAGUGUGUGUGUAUGUGUGUGUGUGUGCAUGCAUGCAGUGCACACAUGCAGUGAGGGGAGGGUAAGCCAACUACUUCUUCAACUUUGGCGGUUGUUCAAUGAUAAAUGUGUGUAGGGGAGCAGAGUGAGGGUUGGCCACAAAUGUGGCUUUGAGCUGUCACACACAUCCUCCACAUCUUUAUCUG
rnacentral:lncRNA from 1 species